AGUGAACGCUGGCGGUAGGCCUAACACAUGCAAGUCGAACGGCAGCACAGUAAGAGCUUGCUCUUACGGGUGGAGAGUGGCGGACGGGUGAGGAAUACAUCGGAAUCUACUUUUUCGUGGGGGAUAACGUAGGGAAACUUACGCUAAUACCGCAUACGACCUACGGGUGAAAGCAGGGGAUCUUCGGACCUUGCGCGAUUGAAUGAGCCGAUGUCGGAUUAGUUGGUUGGCGGGGUAAAGGCCCACCAAGGCGACGAUCCGUAGCUGGGCUGAGAGGAUGAUCAGCCACACUGGAACUGAGACACGGUCCAGACUCCUACGGGAGGCAGCAGUGGGGAAUAUUGGACAAUGGGCGCAAGCCUGAUCCAGCCAUACCGCGUGGGUGAAGAAGGCCUUCGGGUUGUAAAGCCCUUUUGUUGGGAAAGAAAAGCAGCAGGUUAAUACCCCGCUGUUCUGACGGUACCCAAAGAAUAAGCACCGGCUAACUUCGUG
rnacentral:rRNA from 1 species